rnacentral:rRNA from 1 species
UGACAAUCCUAGAGAUAGGACGUCCCCUUCGGGGGCAGAGUGACAGGUGGUGCAUGGUUGUCGUCAGCUCGUGUCGUGAGAUGUUGGGUUAAGUCCCGCAACGAGCGCAACCCUUGAUCUUAGUUGCCAGCAUUCAGUUGGGCACUCUAAGGUGACUGCCGGUGACAAACCGGAGGAAGGUGGGGAUGACGUCAAAUCAUCAUGCCCCUUAUGACCUGGGCUACACACGUGCUACAAUGGACAGAACAAAGGGCAGCGAAACCGCGAGGUUAAGCCAAUCCCACAAAUCUGUUCUCAGUUCGGAUCGCAGUCUGCAACUCGACUGCGUGAAGCUGGAAUCGCUAGUAAUCGCGGAUCAGCAUGCCGCGGUGAAUACGUUCCCGGGCCUUGUACACACCGCCCGUCACACCACGAGAGUUUGUAACACCCGAAGUCGGUGAGGUAACCUUUUAGGAGCCAGCCGCCGAAGGUGGGACAGAUGA